GGCCAGCUGGCCCAAUGGUAGGGCAUCUGUUUCCGGUUCUUACGAAAACCUGGAAGCCGCAGGAGGUUGCAGGUUCGAGUCCUGCGUUGGUCG
rfam:TPA: Aspergillus nidulans FGSC A4 chromosome I